UAAGUACUUCCUCCGUCCAACAAAAGAUGUCUCAAGUUUGUUAAAAUUUGGAAGUAUCUAGACAUGACUUAAUGUAUAGAUGCAUUCAAAUUUAGUCAAAGUUGAGACAUCCUUUGUUGGACGGAGGGAGUAAAUG
rfam:Brachypodium distachyon strain Bd21 chromosome 1, whole genome shotgun sequence.